GGGGGGGGGAGCCGAGCCGAGCCGAGCCGAGCCGGACCGGACUCCUGCUCCCGGCGGAGCGCGGCCGGAGCGGCAGGAUUUAUACUGGCUCCUUGUUCCUGGCUGAUGAGACACAAAAUCUUGAUUCUGUGCUAUCAGCAGCCCUUUGGCAGCACUCUCUUCAGGAUCAGGCACCUCACUGUGAUAAUUUCCUUCUAGCAAUCUAAUUUGUAAUCCAUUACUUUAGAGUCACAAAAAUCGGAUUUGUUUAACUUUCAAGGAGCAACCCCUGAGAAGUGACAAGGCCUCCUUUCUUCACCUGUGCCAUACACCUCUGAAUAAGAUACGGAGAAUGGUGCCAGAAGAUUUUAAUUUGGGCCAGUAUCUGUGCCAUGUAAUAUUCACAAGUACCUGAAUCACACUUUAAGUGUUUCAGAUGCUUUGUCUAUUCUAUUAAUAAAUCCUUACGUGACUCUCAUUGAGUUACUACCAUCUGGGGAAGCAGAGCCAGGGAAACCUGCCUACAGUAGCUUGAGUCAUGUGUGGAAUGAGGAUUUUGACACAGGAUUUCCUGCCUUCCAGAUCUCUUCUGGUUCUUCCAGAUCAGGCUGCCUCCCAAGCAGUGGCUUUCCUGCUGGAUGUGGCAGCCCAGGAAAAGAGAAGAUACAGCACCUCCACCUUUACCUGUUUCCUUUGCAAAAGACCACCUCAUUUUUUUCCACACAUUCUUGAAGGUCUUCGUUCAGCAGUGAGUAAUCUACCACCUAUUUGGAUCUCAGUUCUCUUCUUAAAGGUCUAAAAUACUCUCCAUGUGAAUCCAGGCCAAUGACUUGUUAAUGAUGGCUGUGUCUGAGAAGAUUAUCUUGGCUGUUACUAUAUCAGCAAGACAAAAUGAAGAAAUACAAUAUCUGAUGAAAGGCACCCACCCUUUAUAAUUUUCCAUCUCAAUAGGGUGUUUCUCAAGCCUCACCCUAAAUUCUUACUGUAGGUGGUUACACAAUGCCAUUUGAAUGAAGUGAUCCACUUAUUGAUUUUCUUCCUUGAGCUUCUUUCAGAGAAGGGAAAAGCCAGGUCGCAUACUCUCUGGAUUUAGAAAGUAUUACCCUUUUACUUGCAAAGAACUUUGAAACUUCCUUAAGAAUGCUAGUAGAAAUCACCAAAACACCAGUGAGUCAUCAAAUUUCAGUUCAAAGUCUAUAUAAUCAAAUUUUAAACUAUAUUAGGAUGUGUUCCAACAUAGCACAAUUAGAUCUCUUCCCAUUUUCUGCUCGUAUCAGGCAGGAGUCCAUUCUUUUAGGCUGAAACUGCUGAUGGGGCUUUUUUGCAUGUGCCAUUACUUUUUAUUACUAUGAAAUAGCCACCUGAUGAUCAGUCCAGGUUUCUGUUACACAUUUCCCAUGACAGAAGCACUAAUAUUAGACAGAAUUACUUUUUAAAACGGUGGGGGUUUUACGCUGGAGCAGUAUCCUGACCUCUUUACCUGGCCUCCCAGCACCUCCUUAGUUCAGCUCACAGGUUGUGGUUGAGUAUAUGCACGUACACAGAAUAUUUAUUGACAAGCACACCCCAGGAAAAAUUGCUUACACAUUAUUUGGAGGGUUUUGCUGUGUGUUGCCUACACACAGACACGCAGAAAGUCCUAUAGUGUUUGGACUGUACAGAAGGAAAACAUGUUUGUACCUCUAUUGUAUCUCAGGUUAUAACACAUCCUAGGCAGAAAGUGCAGCUCAGAAAAUCCUUUUGUUGCAUGAGCUUUAAGAAAAAGAGACAACAAGAGGCAAAAAGAAUUAUUCAAGAGAAUACAGCAACUCUCCUUUUACUAUUAUUUUUCUUUAUAUAAUUUUAUUUAUUUUUUUUCCUUUCCCUAAUUUUCUUUUUUUUUUUUUUUUAAAGUCCCUGUUCCACCAUGCACAGACCACCUGGGCUCCAUCCCAUUGCUGUUAUCUUGUCAACCCCCUCACCACAUCUCCUCCUCAGAGCUUUUUAAGGAUUCCUUCUCUGUCAGUAACAGAUUUAAGACCUGCCAAGUUGCAUAAGCCCAAGUGUGCCUUAGGUUUUUGUUUGUUGGUUUUUUUUUUUCCCCCGUCUCUUGCUCCACCCCGUGCUAAUUCCGCACAUUCCACCCAGCCUUCCCCCCGGACCGCUCCCUUCCUCUCUCUUUUUGUUCUUGCCUUAAUAUCUUCUUUCAUGCCUUCGCCAUCCACGCAGAGCAAAGGCGACCUCCCACCCCAUGUUCGCUCUGUAUCCUCCCGCUCCCCUCUCCAAACAAAAGAAGGAGCGCGGCACAGCCCAUCUGUUCCCUGAAUCAUCCCGGCUGUGACGGGCACUUUCCAUCUGCCCCAGCUCACUGCUGUACUGUCUGCGGUCUGGAAGUUUAAAGUGCACCCAGCCGAGCCAAACCCCGCUGAAAACACAUUCAGGCCGCUUUGAGUCAGGCCGUACAACAUCUGGUGCAGACAUCUCUUUUUAGUAGCAAUUUUUUUCCCCUCCUGUUUUACGGUACUGACACAUCUCAAGUGUUGCAUCAAAUGCAGGCACUUUUUCUGGACAUUGUGUCUAUCCUUUUACACCAUGACAUUCAGAUGAAAGCAGUUUACCUAAAAAGUAAGCUAAGCCUUCAAGGUUUGUAUGAUAUAUUCAAAGUCAGCUCAGGAUACAAAGCCUUAAUUUUUGCCCCCCAAAUGUAGGUCUUGCCAGCCAGACCACUGAUGCUGAAUUCAGCCUGCAAGCUGCUUCUCCUGGAUAUAGAAACACACCAGUUCUCACUCAUAUUGACUGGAAAAUAUGUUAAAAUAAUUUGUCAUUGAGACCCCAACCAUGCAGUUGUGAAAGAACUAAAGACACCAAACUCUGGAUUCAAAACUGUAGGAAAAUGGCUGAAAAUGCAUUCUUAAUAUACUUUCACAUAUAAAAUUAAUCAACUGUAGUGUCCUGUCCAGUAUUUAUGAAUUAAACCAAUAAAUGUACUAACACUUUUCUGUCACCUGUGUAGCAUGACUUGUGUUGUAUACUUACUAGUAUAUAUACUCAGAGCCCAAAUACGUACAUAAGGAACAAAUGCUGCAGUGAAUGCAUGUCUUGUAUGUACAAAGGAGCUUACUGACUUGGCUGGUUUGUUUUUCUCCUACUUGAAAAACUUGCUAACUUAGUUCACAGUAGAGACAAAACAAUAAACUUGAGGUUUAGUAUGA